rnacentral:rRNA from 1 species
UAAUGGCUUUCCGGGAAAGGGAUUAGGGUUCGAUUCUGGAGAAGGAGCCUGAGAACGGCUACUACAUCUACUUGGAAGGCAGCAGGCGCGUAAAUUACCCAAUCCUGACUCAGGGAGGUGGUGACAAGAUAUAAUGACGCUAUGAAAAAUAGUGAUUAUAGUGAGGGUAUUCCAAACCGAACCACAAGUACGAUUAGAGGGCAAGUCUGGUGCCAGCAGCCGCGGUAUUCCAGCUCUAAUAGCGUAUAUCAAAGUUGCUGCAGUUAAAAGCUCGUAGUUGGAUUUCUAUGUAUCUGCUUUCCCCCACGGGAAUACAUCCUACUAGUCUUCGGACUGUUACUGUGAGAAAAUUAGAGUGUUUCAAGCAGGCUCUCGCAAGAAUACAUUAGCAUGGAAUACGAAUGUAUUUAGAACCCGGCCACCCACAAAGACGAACAGACAGUGGGGGCAUUAGAAUUAACUCGUCCUAUGUUGUUUUUCUUGGAUUUGUAAGACUAACGUAUGCGAAGCAUUCGCCACGCAUGUCUUCACUAAUCAAUGACGAAGAUAGGGAUCAAGACAUCACAUCCUGCCGUAUCCUAUCUAUAAACUAUGCCGACUAGGGAUGGAGUGGGCUCAACCAUUCAGUACCUUAUGGAAAAUCAAAGUCCUCGGUCUGGCGGGAUACUGGUCGCAGACUGAACCUAGAUGACGAGGCACACCCAGAUGUGAACCGCGCUAAUCGACCAACGGGGAACCUACCAGUCCAGACAUGUAGAUUGACGACUGAUAGCCUCUCUGGAUUAGGGUGGUGGCAUGGCGUCU